rnacentral:rRNA from 1 species
CCUACGGGAGGCAGCAGUGGGGAAUAUUGGGCAAUGGGCGAAAGCCUGACCCAGCUAUGCCGCGUGAGUGAUGAAGGCCUUAGGGUUGUAAAGCUCUUUUAGAUGGGAAGAUAAUGACGGUACCAUCAGAAAAAGCCCCGGCUAACUUCGUGCCAGCAGCCGCGGUAAUACGAAGGGGGCAAGCGUUGCUCGGAUUUAUUGGGCGUAAAGGGUGUGUAGGUGGUCCUGCAAGUUAGAUGUGAAAGCCCCGGGCUUAACCCGGGAACUGCAUUUAAAACUGCUGGACUUGAAGAUCACAGAGGUAAGCAGAAUUUCCAGUGUAGAGGUGAAAUUCGUAGAUAUUGGAAAGAAUACCAACGGCGUAGGCAGCUUACUGGGUGAUACUUGACACUGAGGCACGAAAGCGUGGGGAGCAAACAGGAUUAGAUACCCUGGUAGUCCACGCCCUAAACGAUGUGUGCUCGCUAUCGGAUAGUUUACUAUUCGGUGGUCGUAGACUACGACGAUAAGACACACCGCCGUCGGGUAGGUUACGUAGUCGCGAGAAGUAAAACUUAACAAACGAAAGUUAGACGGUCGUGUAGACGUUGUCCGACGGACGACGACGAGGGAGGUAGGG